UAUUGCUCAAUGGGGGAAACCCUGAUGCAGCGACGCCGCGUGAGCGAAGAAGUAUUUCGGUAUGUAAAGCUCUAUCAGCCGGGAAGAANAUGACGGUACCUGACUAAUAACCUCCGGCUAAAUACGUGCCAUCAGCCGCGGUAAUACGUAUGGAGCAAGCGUUAUCCGGAUUUACUGGGUGUAAAGGGAGCGUAGGCGGCCUGGCAAGUCUGGUGUGAAAUACCGGGGCCCAACCCCGGGACUGCAUUGGAAACUGCCAGGCUGGAGUGUCGGAGGGGCAGGCGGAAUUCCUAGUGUAGCGGUGAAAUGCAUAGAUAUUAGGAGGAACACCGGUGGCGAAGGCGGCCUGCUGGACGACAACUGACGCUGAGGCUCGAAAGCGUGGGGAGCAAACAGG
rnacentral:rRNA from 1 species